rnacentral:rRNA from 1 species
AACGAACGCUGGCGGCAGGCCUAACACAUGCAAGUCGGACGAGAAGGUUCCUUCGGGAACUGGAGAGUGGCGCACGGGUGAGUAACGCGUGGGGACCUACCUCUUAGUGGGGGAUAACGGUUGGAAACGACCGCUAAUACCGCAUACGCCCUUCGGGGGGGAAAGAUUUAUCGCUAAGAGAUGGACCCGCGUUGGAUUAGAUAGUUGGUGAGGUAACGGCUCACCAAGUCAGCGAUCCAUAGCUGGUUUGAGAGGAUGAUCAGCCACACUGGGACUGAGACACGGCCCCAGACUCCUACGGGAGGCAGCAGUGGGGAAUAUUGGACAAUGGCGGAAGCCUGAUCCAGCCAUGCCGCGUGAGUGAAGAAGGCCUUCGGGUUGUAAAGCUCUUUCAGAUGCGAAGAUGAUGACGGUAACAUCAGAAGAAGCCCCGGCUAAUUCGUGCCAGCAGCCGCGGUAAUACGAAAGGGGCAAGCGUUGUUCGGAUUUUACUGGGCGUAAAGGGGCACGCAAGGCGGUCUUGCCAGUCAGGGGGUGAAAGCCCGGGGCUCAACCCCGGAACUGCCUCUGAUACUGCGAGACUAGAGACUAGGAGAGGGUGGUGGAAUUCCCAGUGUAGAGGUGAAAUUCGUAGAUAUUGGGAGGAACACCAGAGGCGAAGGCGGCCACCUGGACUAGAUCUGACGCUCAGGUGCGAAAGCGUGGGGAGCAAACAGGAUUAGAUACCCU